UUAUUGCACACAGAGUCCAUGCAACUUCUUAUGUGACUUGUUAAGCACUAUUAUUGCACACAGAGUCCAUGCAACUUCUUAUGUGACUUGUUAAGCACUAUCAUUGCACACAGAGUCCAUGCAACUUCUUAUGUGACUUGUUAAGCACUAUUAUUGCACACAGAGUGAGUCCUUUCAACUUCUUAUGUGACUUGUUAAGCACUAUUAUUGCACUCAGAGUGAGUCCUUUCAACUUCUCAUGUAACUUGUUAAGUGUAAUCCAUUUUAAAUUCAAAAUGUGGCCAAAGUCAAGGGGUAUGAAUACUUUCUGAAAACAGAAUUUGUAUGCAAAUCUCAGUCUUGAAAUCUAGAUGGUUGGGAUAGAGUCUUUUAAAAAUAGAUGCUGGUGGUUGGUGGUUUUUUCUAUAAGCAUCUACCUAAACGUGUGUGUGCAUGCGUGCGUGUGUGUGUGUGUGUGUGUGUGUGUGCGUGCGUGCGUGUGUGUGUGUUGCUGUGUGGUUAGGUGUGGAGAGGAUGUUGGAAGUGAUCUGAUGUUUUCCUGCUGAUCGCUGUGUUUUUUUUGUCUCCAGUGAAGAAUGGCAGACAGGAAGCGCUCCUCCCUGGGAGCUGAUGUCACUUCCUGUCCAGUGCUGGCCCGUUGUGUGGGUGCCUGACAGAGGUGACAUGGCCCUGCCCUGACAGAUGUGCAGGUCGCACAGUUCACACGUUUCAUCUGAUUUAUAAACACCAAAGGCUUUCUUUGUGUUAAAGCUUGUAAAAUGCAUAGAAAUGAUGAGGAAAUUACAACUUAGUUUGGGUCUCUACUCAGUGGGACUGAUGUGAGACUUAUUCAAAUUCUAGCUCAGAUUGACAUCCAUCGGGAGUUCUGGGGCUACCAGUAGAGAAGCUGUGCUACAGAGAUGGAUGAAGUGAAUGUAUGUCAGAGAGGGAGCUGGUUUCAAGUCACUCUGCUUCAAGUUCACAUUCUGCCAAGAGGGUGUCAUAUUUUAACUCUAAUUUCUAUUGGCUCAGAAAAGUAAAAAUGUCAGACUAGAAAAUCUAAUGAGGUAUCCCAUAUUUUUCUAUGUAGGCCACUACCUCAUUUGUCUUGAAUAAUAGCUGGCUACACACACACUCACAUUAACACACACACACACACACACACACACACACACACACACACACACACACACACACACACACACACACACACCUGGGUUCUCACUAAUCUCAUUAGCUCUCAUCAGCGGGCUGAGAUCACAGAGCUAGGCGCCUCACUGACUGCUGUGUUCACAACAACAACCGCAUCACAUUAGCCAUCAUCCCUACUCCUACACCCCUGUCUGUACCACUUCCCAAAAUACUCCUACCUACCUGGCAUCACAUCACACACACACACACACACACACACACACACACACACACACACACACACACACACACACACACACACACACACACACACACACACACACACACACACACACACACACACACACACAGACACACACACACACACACACACACACACACAAACACACUAGACUGCUAGAAUGUAUCCCUCAUGACAUUCAUAUAAACAUUAUGGUUGAUAUUUUCCUGAUAUUUUGCCCGAGAAUAAAUCACCUUUCUCCUGGGUACCCCGGUAUUGAAAAGCAUCAUAAAGCAUCAUAAAGCAUCAUUUGAUUAGACUUAGAUUGAUUUGAUUAGAGCUUUGAUCAGCAUUAAUGGGGCGGCAGGUAGCCUAGUGGUUAGAGUGUAGGGGCGGCAGGGAGCCUAGUGGUUGGAGUGUGGGGGGCGGCAGGUAGCCUAGUGGUUAGAGUGUAGGGGCGGCAGGUAGCCUAGUGGUUAGAGUGUAGGGGCGGCAGGUAGCCUAGUGGUUAGAGUGUAGAGGCGGCAGGUAGCCUAGUGGUUAGAGUGUAGGGGCGGCAGGUAGCCUAGUGGUUAGAGUGUAGGAGCGGCAGGUAGCCUAGUGGUUAGUGUGUAUGGGCGGCAGGUAGCCUAGUGGUUAGAGUGUAGUGGCGGCAGGUAGCCUAGUGGUUAGAGUGUAUGGGCGGCAGGUAGCCUAGUGGUUAGAGUGUAGUGGCGGCAGGUAGCCUAGUGGUUAGAGUGUAUGGGCGGCAGGUAGCCUAGUGGUUAGAGUGUAGAGGCGGCAGGUAGCCUAGUGGUUCGAGCGCUGCGCCAGUAACUGAAAUGUUGCUGGAUUAAACAAGUUCUGCCCCUGAACAAGGCAGUUAAUCCACUGUUUCCUGUUAGGCCGUCAUUGUAAAUAAGAAUUUGUUCUUAACUGACUUGCCUAGUUCAAUAAAGGUUAAAUAAAAUUAAAUAAAAGUCAAUCCUGAGCCAUAUAUUAAAUACAUUUAAUGAGCCCAGGCCCAAAAAUCCUUUUAACAAAUACAUAUAUGAUGUAGGCUACUGCACAACAGAAAAACAGAAAAGCCCAUAGAUGUAGUUUACCAUAUGCUCUCUUGGGUAAAUAAAUAAACCUAGCUCCAGUAGGCUAAUCUUUUUUUAGUGUGAACUGUAUUACUGUACUGUAUUAUACUGUAUUAUAUGGACUGGAAUUAUGGACUGGAAUUAUGGACUGGAAUUAUGGACUGGAAUUAUGCACUGGAAUUAUGGACUGGAAUUAUGCACUGGAAUUAUGGACUGGAAUUAUGCACUGGAAUUAUGGACUGGAAUUGUGGACUGGAAUUAUGGACUGGAAUUAUGGACUGGAAUUAUGCACUGGAAUUAUGCACUGGAAUUAUGCACUGGAAUUAUGGACUGGAAUUAUGCAUUGGAAUUAUGGACUGGAAUUAUGCACUGGAAUUAUGGACUGGAAUUAUGCACUGGAAUUAUGUACUGGAAUUAUGGACUGGAAUUAUGCACUGGAAUUAUGCACUGGAAUUAUGCACAUAGUUAAAACCAUGAUAAACCAGGGAGACAUAAGAUUCUGGUGCAUAUGUCGUACAGGUGCAUAUGUCGUACAGGUGCAUAUGUCGUACAGGUGCAUAUGUCGUACAGGUGCAUAUGUCGUACAGGUGCAUAUGUCCUACAGGUGCAUAUGUCCUACAGGUGCAUAUGUCGUACAGGUGCAUAUGUCCUACAGGUGCAUAUGUCCUACAGGUGCAUAUGUCCUACAGGUGCAUAUGUCCUACAGGUGCAUAU
ensembl:lncRNA